UCGGGAAUUUUGGGCAAUGGGCGAAAGCCUGACCCAGCAACGCCGCGUGAAGGAUGAAGUAUUUCGGUAUGUAAACUUCGAAAGAAUAGGAAGAAUAAAUGACGGUACUAUUUAUAAGGUCCGGCUAACUACGUGCCAGCAGCCGCGGUAAUACAGAGGUGGCAAGCGUUGUUCGGAUUUAUUGGGUGUAAAGGGUCCGUAGGUGGUCUAACAAGUCUGAUGUGAAAUCCCAUGGCUCAACCGUGGAACUGCAUUGGAAACUGUUGGACUUGAGUACCGCAGAGGUAAAGGGAAUUCCCGGUGUAAGGGUGAAAUCUGUAGAUAUCGGGAGGAACACCAGUGGCGAAGGCGCUUUACUGGGCGGUUACUGACACUGAGGGACGAAAGCAAGGGGAGCAAACAGGAUUAGAUACCCACGUAGUCCCUGAGCGGGCUGGCAAGGCGCAU
rnacentral:rRNA from 1 species